rnacentral:rRNA from 1 species
GUGAACGCUGGCUGUAGGCCUAACACCUGCCAGUCGAACGGCAGCACAGUAAGAGCUUGCUCUUACGGGUGGCGAGUGGCGGACGGGUGAGGAAUACAUCGGAAUCUACUUUUUCGUGGGGGAUAACGUAGGGAAACUUACGCUAAUACCGCAUACGACCUACGGGUGAAAGCCGGGGAUCUUCGGACCUUGCGCGAUUGAAUUAGCCGAUGUCGGAUUAGCUAGUUGGCGGGGUAAAGGCCCACCAAGGCGACGAUCCGUAGCUGGUCUGAGAGGAUGAUCAGCCACACUGGAACUGAGACACGGUCCAGACUCCUACGGGAGGCAGCAGUGGGGAAUAUUGGACAAUGGGCGCAAGCCUGAUCCAGCCAUACCGCGUGGGUGAAGAAGGCCUUCGGGUUGUAAAGCCCUUUUGUUGGGAAAGAAAAGCAGCAGGUUAAUACCCCGCUGUUCUGACGGUACCCAAAGAAUAAGCACCGGCUAACUUCGUG